CCUAACCACUGGACCACCAGGGGUCCCCACAGCCUUUUGUAGUGUUGUACAAAACAGCUCCCUUUAGGGUUCCUUUCUCUGGCCUCCUGGUGUCUGGCUGGGUGUGCUUGGAGAGCACAAACCCAUGCCCUUGUUUGUGGUUUCCUUCAGCUUUGCCCCAGGUUCCCACAGACCGAGGGCACCACUCAGUCACCCCUGGCCCUUCAGUGCACUUGCAGAACUCGCAGGUACCUUGGUGGAGCAAGAGCUUGUCAUGUUUGCUUCCCUUCCCUUGCCCAGAGAAUUCACCCAACCAAAGCCAACAGGAGUUUUCCCUGCAGGGAAGGCCAGAGCUGCCACCAAGGAGGGAAGCAGAGCCCCGUGGCUGUGGGAAGGACUGACCCUUUGCAGGCUGACAACAUGGAAGGACCCUCCCCAGCUGGGCAAGCUUUGUGCAGCCCUGGUUUCUGUUGCACUCGGGGCAGCUCUUUCCCAUCCUGUCCAGAGCAAGACAAUGCCAUGACCCAGAUGGGAGUGCAGAGCAGGUCUGGACUGACAGGACAGUCAUCCACGACCACAUCAGCCUGACAUUCCCUGAUGAUGGCAACGGGAUGAACUCGGAGCAGCUGCACAAAAUACUAAGGCACUGUGCAACCUCUCUGGAGUGCCCAUUAGUGGAGAGAAAGACAAUUCAUAUGGUUGUGACUGUCUUUCCUUUCAGUUGGCAACCAAGAGAAGAGACAGACUCGGCUCCAAUCCUUUGGAGUAUUGAUAAGAGAAGUGCAGCUGUGGCAGUUCCCUGCUUAGAGAGAAGCUGGAAUUCGUUGGCACUGGAGCACAUUGUCCCAGGAAGCGACUACUCCCUGCCAGGACGUAGGAGAUGUUUUUCCAUUGGCCUUGGGUUUGGGAGCUGGAGGGUUUGUGGGUGUUGUUUUAAAAUCAGGUGUUUUGUGGGCUUUUGCAGUAUUUGGUACCCGAAGCCGAGCACGCAGAUCAUCCUGGGAGGACAAAGAGCCAAAACACAGCUGGUUUCCAAAGCUGUCUUCCCCCACACUUGUCAUGUGGGCACAGGGAUACCACACUUGCAAGGGCUUCUCCAAAGGUUUUUCUGCCAGGAGUGCUCCAGGCUUUCAGAAGCAGAGCAGCCCUGGGAGAGCAGCUGAGUGAUGACGGGAAGGAGCUGCAGAGGAAGAAGAAGGAGGAAUGUCCCUUGGCUGUGCCAGGUGAGGCGAUGCAGGGAGUGGCAAGGCCAGGGAGAGCAAAGGCCUUGCCAGGCUGUGGCUGUGGUUGGUUUCCCCCGAGUGCUGAGCAGGAGCCUUUGAUGGGCAAGCUGUGCUGGUUUUCCCUGGCAGAAAGCAGCCAGAGCAGCCGUGGGUGCAGUGCGAGGCGCGUGGGAAGGGUGGGAAGGUGGCGGAGGGAACG
rnacentral:lncRNA from 1 species